rnacentral:antisense_RNA from 1 species
UGUGGGAGCGGGCUUGCUCGCGAAGGCGGUAUGUCAGUCAGAACAUCUGUUACUGAUACACCGCCUUCGCGGGCAAGCCCGCUCCCACA